GAUGAACGCUGGCGGCGUGCCUAAUACAUGCAAGUCGAGCGAACAGACGAGGAGCUUGCUCCUCUGACGUUAGCGGCGGACGAGUGAGUAACACGUGGAUAACCUACCUAUAAGACUGGGAUAACUUCGGGAAACCGGAGCUAAUACCGGAUAACAUGUUGAACCGCAUGGUUCAACAGUGAAAGACGGUCUUGCUGUCACUUAUAGAUGGAUCCGCGCCGCAUUAGCUAGUUGGUAAGGUAACGGCUUACCAAGGCAACGAUGCGUAGCCGACCUGAGAGGGUGAUCGGCCACACUGGAACUGAGACACGGUCCAGACUCCUACGGGAGGCAGCAGUAGGGAAUCUUCCGCAAUGGGCGAAAGCCUGACGGAGCAACGCCGCGUGAGUGAAGAAGGUCUUCGGAUCGUAAAACUCUGUUAUUAGGGAAGAACAAAUGUGUAAGUAACUAUGCACGUCUUGACGGUACCUAAUCAGAAAGCCACGGCUAACUACGUG
rnacentral:rRNA from 1 species